UUUGACACAAACAUCUAAUCAAAAUUCAUUAGGAUUAAAGUACUUGUAAAUAUUUGCUGCAAAAAAUAAGGCGAAAAGCGGCGGUUUAUAAACCUUAUCCUCUACCUGCUUUACCCAUUGACACUCACCUGUUCAGCAGCAUCUUCAUCACUUUGUUCCUCAACCCAUCAGAAGUUCUCGUCGAGGGCAUCAAUGCCAGCAAAGUUGAUCUCUGAGUCAAGCUGCGCGACCUUGGCGAGUUGAGCUCCUCCGGCUUGAAUGGGGUGAUGAAGUAGCUCGGCGGUGCGGUGGAGGUUCGUAGAGCUCUUUGAAGUUUUUCAUUUUCCAUUUUGUCUCUUCCUUAGCAUCAACUAUUACUUUAAAAACUAGAGUUUCUUGGUAACUGGUUCUGAAGCUUUGGUAUGCAAUCAGCUGAAAACAUGGUUGAGAUUGUUGAUCUAAUUGUGUGGGAAAGCAUGCUUGAGGUUGUUGUUAUGGUAAUCUAGUGUAGUAGGAUUGGACUUAUUAGAUGUUAUGCACUUAUGCUAAUUACUUUAGUUUAGUAUGAGAAGAAAAUCAUUAUGGAAGGCUGCUUUGAGAGGAAACUGAGAAAGUUGGAGAAUUUGUUUUGUGGGACUUGGUUUUUCUUUUUCAAAUCUAAGCGCCCGGCUAUAUAAAAUUUCAAUUAGCUGUUAAUUUCAAAGUGUGUUUCAAAAAAUAUAUAUAUUAUCCCACUUGAGAGGGUUAUAACUCAAGAACUUUUAUAGUAGUCAAUAUCUUUUAGUACUAAAUUAUUCUUCUGUUGAAUCUUCUCCCUCAGUCUCACCCUCUGUAUGAUUAAUAACCAUGUAAUUUCUAUAAAAACACCCACACAACACAGUGAACACACUUCAUACCAUUCUAUUUCCG
rnacentral:lncRNA from 1 species